rnacentral:rRNA from 1 species
AAACGGCUGAUAAUACCGCAUAAGCGCACAGUAAGACAUCUUACCGUGUGAAAAACUCCGGUGGUACAGGAUGGUCCCGCGUCUGAUUAGCUAGUUGGUGAGGUAAAAGCUCACCAAGGCGACGAUCAGUAGCCGGCCUGAGAGGGUGAACGGCCACAUUGGGACUGAGACACGGCCCAGACUCCUACGGGAGGCAGCAGUGGGGAAUAUUGCACAAUGGAGGAAACUCUGAUGCAGCGACGCCGCGUGAGUGAGGAAGUAUUUCGGUAUGUAAAGCUCUAUCAGCAGGGAAGAUAAUGACGGUACCUGAGUAAGAAGCACCGGCUAAAUACGUGCC